GCCUGCUGUGAAAGCAGCCAGCGGCAGCGCCCCGUCCGCCUCCGCAAGCGCCGCUCUCCCAGAAAUACACGGCGGUUUUCCUUCUUCUCUGAAGGGAGCUUCAUAACUGAAACUUCAGCUGCUUUGUGUAAAGCCUUCUUUGAAGAAGAGUGAGCCCAGUGCCCUCCACCAGGCCUGUACCGGAGGAUGACCCUGCAGCUUAAUCUGUGGGAGCCAAGAACUUCACCUCCAUGACAAACGUGAUGGAGGAGAAAUAAAAGAACAGCAGAGACUUCUAAGUGAUCUACUUUCUCUCUCUGCCAAUAAACAACAGACUUGUCCAAAAGAGAUCACCACUGGCCACCCGUUAAACUAUUUAAACAUCUUGCUCGUUUCUGCAGAAGGGGAGCGAGCAGUGCGCAUCCGAACGUGCAGGCCAGCGAGCGAAGUGCCCGGCCUGGGUGUGCAACGGCGCAGACUAUUUCCUGGCACCCGUGCGGUCCCCAGUGGAUUGCAGUGGGUGUAUGCUCUGCGCAGGGAGGAUACAAGAGCCUCCGUGUUCUGCCCAUGACCUCAGCACUUCAGCAAUCCUCCCCUAAGGAGCACAUUGCUUUCUAACCAUUAUAACUAAUUGUAUUUUAUACCGAAAAUUGAUUGACCUGGUUACAUGAUAAUGCCUAGCCUUUAUAAUUAUUACUAUUAACAAUUUAAUAAGCCCAGGAAUAUAAGAUUUAGUAAUUAUUACUUGGGAGAAAGUUAUUUUCAAAAUGCAAUACUAAAAAAAAGUAUUAAAAGUAAUAUCUAUUUAUUUAUUUAUCAUUAGGCACAUUCUCAGUAAAGACAAGAAAGGUGCUCAAUGAAGAGCCAGGGAUCUUUUUUGGCAGGAUUUUUUUUUUUUUAAUCUUACCCUUUCCUGACUAUGACAAGAUCCUGUUCUGUUCUUUGCUGCACUAGAACUUUCUGCAUCCAAAUAUUUCUACACAUUUUCGCCUGCUGAGGAGAAGGCGGCAAUGAUCACGCCAGUCUUUCAACAGCAACAUAGGAGCAGUUCAGGCUCCUAGCUGCUAUUGAUAAUGAGGAUGUAAUCCCGGGGGAGACGGGGGAAAUCACUGAGUAAAUACAAAUUAACAAAAUUGAUAAAACACUACUUCCCUCCCCCCAAAGCAGCAGCACUUUAAGUCUGAAAGCGUUAGAACUGAACUUGUAACUGCAUCGAGCCUCAUACU